GAUGAACGCUGGCGGCGUGCCUAAUACAUGCAAGUCGAGCGAACGGACGAGAAGCUUGCUUUUCUGAUGUUAGCGGCGGACGGGUGAGUAACACGUGGAUAACCUACCUAUAAGUCUGGGAUAACUUCGGGAAACCGGAGCUAAUACCGGAUAAUAUUUUGAACCGCAUGGUUCAAAAGUGAAUGACGGUCUUGCUGUCACUUAUAGAUGGAUCCGCGCUGCAUUAGCUAGUUGGUAAGGUAACGGCUUACCAAGGCAACGAUGCAUAGCCGACCUGAGAGGGUGAUCGGCCACACUGGAACUGAGACACGGUCCAGACUCCUACGGGAGGCAGCAGUAGGGAAUCUUCCGCAAUGGGCGAAAGCCUGACGGAGCAACGCCGCGUGAGUGAUGAAGGUCUUCGGAUCGUAAAACUCUGUUAUUAGGGAAGAACAUAUGUGUAAGUAACUGUGCACAUCUUGACGGUACCUAAUCAGAAAGCCACGGCUAACUACGUG
rnacentral:rRNA from 1 species